CCUACGGGAGGCAGCAGUGAGGAAUAUUGGUCAAUGGGCGCAAGCCUGAACCAGCCAAGUCGCGUGAGGGAUGACGGUCCUAUGGAUUGUAAACCUCUUUUGUCGGGGAGCAAGGCCCGCCACGUGUGGCGGGCAGGCGAGUACCCGCAGAAAAAGCAUCGGCUAACUCCGUGCCAGCAGCCGCGGUAAUACGGAGGAUGCGAGCGUUAUCCGGCGUUAUUGGGUUUAAAGGGUGCGUAGGCGGAAGGUUAAGUCAGCGGUCAAAUGUCGGUGCUCAACACCGGCCUGCCGUUGAAACUGGUCUUCUUGAGUGAGCGAGAAGUAGGCGGAAUGCGUGGUGUAGCGGUGAAAUGCAUAGAGAUCACGCAGAACUCCGAUUGCGAAGGCAGCAUACCGGAGCUCAACUGACGCUGAGGCACGAAAGCGCGGGUAUCGAACAGGAUUAGAUACCCGGGUAGUC
rnacentral:rRNA from 1 species